UCCCCCCCUCAGCUCCCCCCAAACCCUCCCCUCACUGUACCAGUAUGUUACUCUGAGUCAACCACUGCAGGGAAGCCCUGGUUUUGUCUUUUAACCAAUGAGCUGAGACCUGCCCCAUCCAAUCAGAACUGCACAGCUAGAUCCUCAUUUGCAUCGAAACCGACCAGUCAGAGCUACUCCAUAACAACCAACCAGAAUGGCAUGAUUCCGACCAAUCAGAACUGGGACCAAUUUUGAAACUAUAUUUGCAUAAAACUGGACCAAUUGGAAAUUUGGGAGGGAGGGAACUUCCUCUAUAAGAGGCAGUGUCCCGUCCGGUCCCGGUCCCGUGUGUCUCAGUAGAGUUCGCUUUCGGUGUUUAGGGUAAGCCUGGUUCGCGAACUGUGUCACCUGCUGCUAGGGUCUCCCCUUUCUGUACGAGUGACAGGGGUAACAGAGCCCGUUCUUUUGUUUAACUUCCUUUUUGUGGCGUGGCCUCAGCUUCACUCUAGAACCCGUGUUCUUGCUGCCGGUGCUUUUGCCUCCACCUCAGAUUUCUCCCUCCGGGAGCCGUCUUGACCUCCGGGAGGCUGUUCCUACCUCAGAAAAGCGCGUUCUUUGUUCCUCACUCAGGGAAGCUGUCUGUUUUCUCCCUCUCAGGCAAGCUAUGUUUCACCCCCCAGAAAAGCCUCUUUUUUCCUUCCUUGUUCCGGGAAGUGAUUCCUACCUACCUCGCUCAGCGCAGCUUCUCGGCGCCUUGGUUUUCUCUCUUUACGAAGUGGAAGCUUCCAGUGGGCAUUUCUCACUAAAACGGGUUGGGGCGUGACCCUCUGCGGGGGCGGGCCGGGAGAAAAGGGAGGAAGGAAGGUCUCCCAGGGAGGGUGUCCUAUCCAGAUGGCUUCCCUUUCUGAUCUGAAAAGACUUCACUGGAAGGGCGAUGAGUGGCUCACAUUCUGAAGGAGCUGCCAUCGGGGCUAAAAUAACCAGACGGAUUAAGCAGAAAAACAAACAGCCUGAGUUUUCCAUGAUGGUUCUCAGCUUCCCGGGCCUCCCACUUCCAGCUUCUAAUCUGGUAGGAGCUAGAAGGCAGCCCAGGGCAUCUUCUAGAUGAAAGGCAGGGGGAAAAGAGGUGCAAACAACGAAAGGAAUAUGGAAGCAAAGUAUGUUGUCCCUGGGAAAAAUGCGUUCUAGAACUGGCCCUGAAGAGCACACCUCCCCGCUGCCAAUGUAUUCCCUGGACGUAGAUGCCUGCCAGCCUGGCUGUAAUCCCAGAGAAGAUAGAAAUAGCAGAGCUCAUGGCUCCAACUUCCAUCCUCUCUUUGGCCUGAAGUCUUUCUCCACUGUUGCCGGAGUUUUAAUUUCCUUUAUGGCCUUGGCCACCUCAAGCCCCCUUCUGGGAUGAUGGAACUUUGUUAGAGCAUCAGGAUUGGGCUGGCAUGCUUUCCAGAGGUCGUGGUCUAGAGAAACACGAGAACAUUUCAUUAUCUCCUGAGGAGGCACAGUCAGAAUGUCAUCGUCCCUCCUGUUUCCUUCAAGCCAAGUGACCCCACCAUGUGAUUUAACCCCUCACCACAAUCUCCAUCAACUCUACUUGCCCCCAACCCCAUCAUAUAAUCUAAGGAAAAGCAGUGUGCUUGCUAACUCCAGAGAGGAAACCCAUUCCACACACACUGCUACAGCCUACUAGAGAACUCCUGGAGUUAAGCUGAACGUGCUCAAGGAUGAACACCUGGAAUUGUUUCCACGAAUGCAGCUAAUGUGUAAGAAACGACUCAUGUAAUACAGAGUUCCUUUGAACCUCAUAGUUUUCAUUUCUAAAGGUUUUUACAAAGUGUUAAUUUUAUGUAUCAACUAGGCUGGGCCAUGUUGCCCAGACACUUGAUCAAACAUUAUUCUGGAUGAUCCUGUGAAGAUGUUUAUGGAUGAGAUUAACAUUUAUAUUGGUGGACUUGGAGUAAAGCAAUUUACCCUUAAUAAUGGAGGUUGGCUUCAUCCAGUCUGUUGAAGGCCUUAAUGAAACAGAUUGACGUCCCUUGAGCAAGACUCAACUUGCAGUUCUUCCCUGAAUCUCCAGCUGCUGGCCUAACCCAUCAGAUUCUAGGGCUAGGCUCACCCAGCUUCCACAAUCAUAUGUGAUCAACAGUCUGAGGGCCUGCCAGCUACACGCCAAGCUCCAGCUGCGUGCACUCGAUCACAGCUAGUUUUCAUUUGAUUCUCACGACUCCGACAUGAGAGGUGCCUUCCUCAACAUUUUCGAAGCUCACACCAGCUUGUGGCCUCCAUCUACCCGGUCCAGAAGCAGAAGCAACACCAUGUGCGAGCUGUUUGUCUUUCUCGAAGUCUGCCUGCUAAGGUUGGAGCAUAAAUGGCAGGUAAACCCAAUUGGAGGAAGGAUGAGAAGCAAGUCAAAAUAUGGCCAGAGACCAGAGUUGGGCCCUGGACCAACCGUUACCCAUCAUGAGCCAAAAACUCCCUCUGCCACUGCGUCUGAAGAGGAACCUUCUCCAGGCUGAAAACAUGAAGAGCAGAGCUGGGUAUUAUCAGUAGAUGACAGCCUGGAAUGGUGGUCCCAACAUUGUGGUCAGUUGAAGAUUAUCAUCUGACUUACUCACUGGACAUACCGAUAAGGCCCUUGACCUUGUGGCAGGGGUACUUUGAAAUGGACCACUGUAAUUAAGUUCUGAGGGUGUUUAAUCAAGGGACCUAAAACAGAUACAUGGAUACAGAAGGGUUUAGGGAAUUGAAGGAAGUCUCCUGAGAUAUAAGACUUAACACCCUGGUAAUACCCUGGCAUGGAUCCCAGGAGAGAGUGUGAACUUGCCGGUAGGAUGGCUCCUAGAACAAUAAAAAAGGUGAUGGUCCACAUAGAGAGAAGCCGGAAUGCCAGAAUUAUAGUGGUAGACAGUGGAUGAAGGGAUCAAAAGGCUGUGGGAAUGAUCAUGUGGCAGUGAAUUUGCUAGGUAUGGCCAAAUGAUCCACUAAAUGCUCGUGUUUCACAGGAAUGCCCAAAGGACAGUAGCAGAAAUUGCUGCAGACCUUGGCUUGCUUAUAGCAAUAGGGGUAGGACCCUGAAGUAAUAAAGGCCAGGAGGCAGCCCUUAACUGCCAAAGUCAAGAGGUUAUAAUUAUUGAAAAGACUGGUGAGGUCAGAGUGAGACCUAAGGAGGCCUGAUCUGUAGAGUUAUGGGAACACUUAAUAGAACAUCGGGUUCCCAGGAGAAAGUAGAUGAGAUGCUGAUCAUGGUAUUACUCAGCUUGAAUCAGCAGGAAGAAAAUGAAGAUGGAUGAUGGGAGUUGAAGUGUAUUUGAGAGGAGGGUGGUCAUCACAAUACAAUCACCAUCCCUUGCACAGAUUCUAGAUGUGGGCCAAUAUUCACCCUGGGACGCUGUCUGAUGAGGUGGCUGGGUUUCCAGGCAACAGCCAGGGGGACCCUGCAACACCACGAUGGGUGAACAGGCUAUUUUUCUAGUUCUUUCCCAAAAGGAACUAUGGCUAUUUAUUUGGGUCUCUAUAUACAGGGCAAAGGAAGAUAUCCAGAUAUUUUGAGGACUGUUGGGCACAGGGUCUGAACUGACAUUGCUAUCCAGAGGCCUACAGUAUACUGGGGCAUAUGAGGGUAAUUUAGGAAACUACUUUUCAUAGUAAAAUCUUCACGAUUAAUGUCUAUUUAUUUAUUUGUUUGGUUAGUAUCAUCUCAUUAGCAAACAACAAAGAGAAGUGCAAAUAGGUAACCUCAAUUUCCCAGAGUAUAUACAGGUGGGGCAAAAGUAGGUUUACUGUUGUUUGCAUAGAAAAUAAUACAAUAAUUAAUAAGUAACAUUAUAAAAAUAAAUAUGUGUUUCAUGUACUCACAACGGUAAACUUACUUUUGCCCCACCCUGUACAGGGGUAGUAGUACUUUAUAUGACCAGUGUCAAAUCUUAUACUAUGAAAAUACCCAUUUCAAAGCCCAGGAAAAAGCCAGUGAUUUCAGUACUCACGAUCCCAAAAGCAGAACUGUCCUCAGAGGACUGUUGCUAGCAUGGAAGGAGAGAGUGAAUAUGAAAAUACUUUGUAAACCAUGAGGCCCUAGACAUGGGUGGGUGCUGAUGAUGAUAGUGGUAGUUACAGAGAUGAUGGUGAUACAGACCAAUUUGUUAACCUUGAAUAACCAUUUCCCUUGCAUGCUUCUCUCUAGAUAGUUUACUAGAAGCUCUGUCAUGCAUGUCUCUUGUUCAACCAGGUCCCUCCUCCCUCACAAUCUCAGUGGGUUCCACUCUAUGGACCAUAGAUGUCAACACUGGCCUGUCCCACAUAAUGUGCGUCAACAUUAGUCAAAGGGUGGAGUACAGAAAAGAAGGGGCAUGACAACGAGGAAGGCCUGUCUAAUGAUCCCCAGGAAAGCGUCAUAAAUCUCUUGUCUUUACACCACACGGACUGCUCACUUUCUAAUGGCUAAAUUCUCUCGAGACAGUUACGUAGAAAUUUCCACUUUGGUGGGGAAGGCAGACAUAGUAAAACAUUGUAAAAGUACACAUAAGUAUCCCAGGUUCUCAGAGCACACAGCUACAAUUUCAUUUUGGUUGGAAGAUAAAAAGACUUUAUGGAGGAAUUAGGAGUGAGGAAAAAAAAGAAUAAAAGUUAAACAAAUGCGAGAGGUUUA